UCGCAAUGAGAGGAAGAAGGAGAAGGGUCUGGUUGCAGCCGACUGGCGAAUCUCCACCAGGAGGACCUCCACGCUGAGGAUCAGCAGCACGUGACCUCAAUGUGACGGACCUAAAAUUACGUAACCUCUACACUACGAACGGAACUCACAUGACCCAAACAAACUUUGUAUACAGUUCACUGGAGUGGAGUUCGACAACGGGAAAAAACGGAACAAACGACAGAACCGUUUAAAGCGAGAGGUGAAAGAAGGCAGGUUUCUUGAACAUACAAAGCUAAAGCCGAUAUAUAUCAAUGUUUUAUUACUUUCAAUGAUUCUAAUAUACGAUAUUAGCAUGGAAGCUAUUGUAUAAUGUUUUGGUGAGAUGAUAUUGUCUGGAGAUGCUGGCUGAACUGUUCGCUACGUUUGUUAGCCUUGGUCGUUGCUACUCGGUUCCGCUUCAGCAAAUGAGUGCAUGCGAAUAUAUGACAUGUUGAAGACGAUCAUAAGUUUUUUCAGGCUGCUGUGUCCAGACAUGCAGACCAUUGAAUGGAUGCAAUGCUACAACUGUAAAGGCUGGCUCCACACAGACUGUGCUGGUCCAUCUCAUUGAGGGAUGAGACAUUCUGUUGAGAAUCGAGCGACACCUGCAAUAGGUCGUCAUCAGGGUCUUGAAAAAGAAUGAGGGCUUCAGCUGCUAUCGGGCAGAAUUUGCCAUGGCCAGGGGAUUUCACAAUUAAAGACUGAAGAAAUUUGA